CUCCCCUUGGUGUAGUUGGUUCAUCACGUUCGACUGUAAUUGCAUAUUUGUAAUCGAAAGGUCCCUGGUUCGAUUCCGGGAGGGGAGA